CGGGGGCCGGGGGCCGGCGAGGGGAGGCCGGGGCUGAGGGGCGAGGACCGAGGAGCGCGCGGAGGAGCGGGGUGAAGGGAUUCAAACCAGAAACGGAGGGACCUCUGGUUCCCAGAGGGAGGAAAAUCCAUGAUGUCUGCUGCCCAGGGAGCUAUUGCCACCGCCUCCUUGGGAUGAAGUAUUGCCAGCUACCAACAGUUCCUUCCCAACGGCCAUCUUCCAGCCUUCUUAAACGACUCCUAGCAUCUUCGGGAGGCUCCUGAAGGACUGAAGCAAAGGAAAUCUCUGAAGGGAUUUAGUCCUUGAAAGGGAGUAGGGAUACUUAGGGUGUUCUGUGUUGAGCGCUUCUUCCUAUCUCUCCAGCUUCAUGUAUGUGUGUCUUUAUGUCCAAGCAAUUGAGCCAACAAGUCCUCAGAAUUCCUUGUGAAAAAAACGUUUUUUUUUUUUGAGACGGAUUCUCACUCUGUCGCCCAGGCUGGAGUGCAAUGGUGAAAUUCAGCUCACUGCAACCUCCGCCUCCGGGGUUCAAGCGAUUCUCCUGCCUCAGCCUCCCGAGUAGCUGGGAUUACAGUCACGCGCCACCACGCCCAGCUAAUUUUGUAUUUUUAGUAGAGACAGGAUUUCUCCUUGGUCAGGCUGGUCUGGAACUCCCGACUUCAGGUGAUCCGCCCGCCUCGGCCUCCCAAAGUGGUGGGAUUACAGGUGUGAGCCACCGUGCCCAGCCCUGAAAUAGUCUUAAUUGCUUGUUUUUCUUUUUUGUCUGAGGUGUGCUUUUUAAAAUCUCUAUGGAGAUGGAGAAGACUGACAUUCUCUGGCCUGAUGUGAAAACCUCUCAUUAAAACUGUGUCUGUGCUUUGUGGGCUGAAAGCAUGAAACACUGGAAAUUUUAAACAAACGUAUGUGAAUGUGUUAAGAAGCCAAGAGUCCGGCCCUCUUUCACCAGACUGUAUGGCCUCAGAUCAGCAAGGGAAGUAUUGAGCUUAGGGACACCAAGUAAUGGAGUGAGCAGGGAUGAGAGGGCACAUAGAAUGUGGUGAUCUCUUUCCAUGUCAAGGCUUGUGUGUUUGUGGCACUGGGGUCUUGCUGUGUCCCCAAGGCUAGAGUACAGUGGCACAAUUAUGGUUCACUGCAGCCUCAACCUCCAGGGCUCAAGUGAUCCUCCCACCUCAGUCUCCUAAGUAGCUGGGACAACAGGCUUGGGCUGCCACACCUGGCUAACUUUUUAUUUUUUUGUAGAGACGGGCCUUUGUAAUACCAGCCUUUGUUGCCCAGGCUGGUAUUGAACUCGCUCAAGCGAUCCUCCCACCUGGGCGUCCCAAAGUGCUGGGAUUAUAGGAGUGAGCCACUGUGCCCAGCCUUCAGCGUCAAGACUUUCUGCACCAUCUCUACGCUGACAGCUCCGUAAUUUAUAUUUCUUUCUGGACUCAUCCCCUAACUCCAGAAUCAUAUAUCCAACUGUCUAGUAUACAUACCCAGUUGGAUGUCUAAUAGGUAUUUCUUUUUUUUGAGGUGGAGUCUUGCUCUGUUGCCCAGGCUGGAGUGCUGGAGUGCAGUGGCACGAUCUCGGCUCACUGCGAGCUCCUCCCGGGUUCACGCCAUUCUGCCUCAGCCUCCCCAGUAGCUGGGACUACAG
rnacentral:lncRNA from 1 species